rnacentral:lncRNA from 1 species
UAGAUGGUAAUGAAAACAGAGACCCACAACUGGACAACAUGAAGAGUGCUCAACCUUCAAUGGUCAGAAAACAAAGUUCUCUGAUUGUGUCGGCUUAUUACGUGGUGGAGCAGCUUCCAGGCUGCUGCGUACAGGGAGGAGGAAACAGGGCAGCUAGGAAGCCUUCUUGGACUAAGGAUGGGUUGAAACACGGAGAGACCGGAGAGAAGAUAGAAGCCACAAAAAGAAACUGGAGAACUGGUGAAGGGGAACCCAGAAGGAACUAAGAACAGCAAAUCUGUUUCCCUCAAGAUGCUUGGGAG